UCACCAAGGUUCAAUUACAGUGAAUGUAUAUGAUCCAUUGUGCUCCAACUCUCUGCAACCACAACCUCAUUCAUCUUUAAGGUUACAGCAGUUACCUAUCCAACAUCAAGAGCUUAACCAAGUCAUAGUGACCCCAACUGCUAUUGCGGGUUCUCCACCAUGUUUCUCAGCACCAUUUCAAAUGACUCUGCCUUUUGGUGCGUACAGGCCCCAGAAUGCCUCUUACAGUGAAACAAGUCUAGUUCCAGUCCUACAUAAUGUAUAUGAGCCACAAGGUCAUAGCUCCAUGAUGCGUGGAUCUCUUAGGGCCUCUUGGCCCCAAAUGCAGAUGACACAAUAUGCAUUUGAUCCCCACAGCCACAAUACCAUUCCUUAUGAUCAACCUUCCUUGGUUUCAAGGUAAUUAAGUCUUUCAAUUAAUUUCAUUUU